rnacentral:rRNA from 1 species
AGCGAACGCUGGCGGCAGGCCUAACACAUGCAAGUCGAACGGAUCCUUCGGGAUUAGUGGCGGACGGGUGAGUAACACGUGGGAACGUGCCCUUUGGUUCGGAACAACUCAGGGAGACUUGAGCUAAUACCGGAUGUGCCCUUCGGGGAAAGGAUUAUCGCCAUUGGAGCGGCCCGCGUCUGAUUAGCUAGUUGGUGGGGUAAAGGGACCCACCAAGGCGACGAUCAGUAGCUGGUCNGAGAGGAUGAUCAGCCACAUUGGGACUGAGACACGGCCCAAA